GCUGUCUCUGUGUGACUUUAUCUGAAUAGUAAUUAGCUGGCAGGAAAAGACAAGCAGCUGAACAGAUAGGAAGUGGUUACUCUGCAAGAUCUGAGGUCUAAUGCCAAUGCAAAGAAGAACAGAACAAAAUGAAAGUUACACCUGCACCAUAGAGACUGCUGAGAACUCGAGAAGUUGGAUAGAUUCCUUAGUUGGUUGACUUCGUUGUACACGGAAGAACUCGGAUCUUGGAAGAUAUAUACUUAUAUAGCAGUUGAAACUAGUGUCCCUCACUCAUUUGUGACAAGCAACAAUCAGCUGCUGCUAUGACUCGUGUCUGUGUAUAUAUCAACACAGUGGUGCUAUUUAUCCGGUUCUAUCCAUUGAUGGAGGGAUGCUCCGCUCACCCGCCCAGACGUCAUCACAUCCCAUUUUUGAUGGUCUGCGCAUGAACGGACAUGCAAACCAGUAGCAAAGCACCCUCAAUGAAUGGACAUUAUGAAAACUGUAAUCCGAAAUAUCUGAGCAGCUCUAAGUGAAAGAAGGGAGAGUGCAGCUAAAUGAAAACCGGUGAUUUGUAAAUUAACCUCUGUGGAAGUUAUGGUGCUGGAAAUUACUGUUAUAAUGUAACUUUUUAUGUAUAGAAGCCCUAAACACCCUUUUUUAAAAACUCAUCAGCAUAGUAGCUCUAAGAAAGCAAAAUAUCUUAAACAAUAUUUAAAAAGGUUGAAUUAGUUACACCUCAAGGGAAUAUCAUGUGAUUAAUGGUGUUCAGCCACUGGGUGCCAAUGUUGUCUAAUAUUUCAUAAGCUGACAUUUUUUAUUAAUCCAGAUGUUCAUAUAUUAUAAUACUUGAAGAUCUAAGAUGAUUAGAGAUUUGAGCGUUUUAAAGAUAGGGGCUGACAUUCACUUUGAAAUAGGACCCUACCAAAUACUUGUAUUUAAUUUUCGUUCUUCUGCUCUCUCAUUUUAAGUAACAGCAAGUAUGUCUGAACUUUGAUUCUAGAAAGAAUUAUUUAAAAAGGUCCCCCCCCCCCCCACCAUACCUACAGCUAUUGUGUACCUAUUUCAUGUAAACAGUGAAAAUUGUGAAGAACCACUAGAGGUCAGUGUAUCUCAAUCAAAAUGUUAACAUUGCUAAAUAAGAUUUAGCUACAAGUCUAAGCUUUAAAACCCUCUCCAUUGUUCUUAACAUUUCCAUACAAUCUAUCAAUACACAACUCCCAAUAAAUUGUAAAAUAGGAUGUUUGUUUAAUUGAACACUAGAUUGUAUCCAACAAAUAUCCAAUGAAAAUCAUGCAAUUUGUCACUUCAGUGCAGUAAAAGGUAUUUAGACUGAAGACAAAAAUAAUAUUGUUAUGAGGUCAGCAGAUUGGUCAAGAUAAUCACAAAGAGCCUCUUUACUCUUUUAAACGUUUGUCUGAAAUCUUGUCUCAGGUUUCUGUAAGUUGAGCAGGGUGAGUUCCCAGAGGCCAUGCUUCUUAAAACAGACAAAGGGAGAGCUGAUUGCUUGGAUUGUGUUUCAAUAACCCCAGGAAGACAUGGUGAUUUGCCACAUCAUGCCCAAGCAUGUCCUGCAACUCUUGAAUGAUAAGUGGCUUCUCCUUUUGUCUUUCUCAGCAAAUGAAGAGAGGACAAUUUUUGAGCCCUUUGAGCUGUUACCUUUGAAAUCCUUUGAGGUUGGACUAUCUGGAUAAAUUCUAUGCACAGGUAAUCCUGUGCAAUGGCACUGAAGUUACAAUGGCAGUCAAAACAUGUCUUAUGAGUGUUUUUCACACGUCUCACCCAGUGGUGGGAUUCAAAUGUUUUUACUACUGGUUCUAUGGGCAUGGCUUUGUG